rnacentral:rRNA from 1 species
GCAGGGCGGAUGCCUUGGCACUAGGAGCCGAUGAAGGACGUGAUAAGCUGCGAUAAGCUUCGGGGAGCCGCACGUAGGCGUUGAUCCGGAGAUGCCCGAAUGGGGAAACCCGGCGAGAGUCAUGUCUCGUCACCCCCUGCUGAAUACAUAGGCAGGGCGGAGCCAACGGGGAGAACUGAAACAUCUAAGUAUCCCCAGGAAAAGAAAUCAAACGAGAUUCCCUGAGUAGCGGCGAGCGAAACGGGA